rnacentral:rRNA from 1 species
GCCAGACUCCUACGGGAGGCAGCAGUAGGGAAUUUUGCGCAAUGUGGGAAACCCUGACGCAGCAACGCCGCGUGAUUGAUGAAGCCCUUCGGGGUGUAAAGAUCUGUCAGUGGGGACGAAACUUGACGGUACCCACAGAGGAAGCAUCGGCUAACUCCGUGCCAGCAGCCGCGGUAAUACGGAGGAUGCGAGCGUUAUCCGGAUUUAUUGGGUUUAAAGGGUGCGUAGGCGGAUCGUUAAGUCAGUGGUCAAUUGGGGGGCCCAAACCCCUUCCCGCCAUUGAAACUGGCGCUCUUGAGUGGAAGAGAAGUAUGCGGAAUGCGUGGUGUAGCGGUGAAAUGCAUAGAUAUCACGCAGAACCCCGAUUGCGAAGGCAGCGUACCGGCGCCCAACUGACGCUGAAGCACGAAAGCGUGGGUAUCGAACAGGAUUAGAUACCCCUGUAA